GCAUGCGCGACUACCAUCCGGUAGUGACAAGCGUAAAACGAAUCUCACGGAUGGCGCCUUGGUUUGAUCAGUAUAAAUUGUUGCUAUUAUUGUGUAAUAGCCUGCAUUCCCUGCAAGCGAACGGUAAACGUAAUACUUCUAAAUCCCGAGGCGUUUAAAAGGAACCGAAGACGACUGUAGGAGAAGUUUAAAAGCGAGCGUAUGGGACUGUUACCGCGACUGACCAACGCCUAACAACUUUGUGUGGAGCUCACUUUUUAUUACGUAAGUCAAGUAGUGAUAGAAUACUUAUAUGCCAUGAUAACUUGGGCUGUGCAAUAUAAAUAUCUGGUGUGUGUAAAGUUUACGAGGGGAGCUCAUAAGCUCCUAGUUGCCUAACAGCUCCAUGGGUAAAAGUUCCGUUUAAAAGUUCGGUUUUGGAAAAGUUUUCCACGACACAUGCCUGUUAUGCUGCUAACUUGUCUAGCUGAAUACUGCGUGUAAGCUAUAUUGCAUCUACACAUUUUAAGAUGGAUGAACUGUAGAAUAGGGUAUGUGCAUGCAUGUCAAGGCAAACACAUUUCGGAAUUCAAAAUAAGUAGUAAAAGACGAAAACAUUUAGUGCAAUUCAAUGCAUGCAGACAAAGGAGAAGGAAAAAGGGGAAGUGCCUGUGUGUGUGUGUGUGUGUCUGUGCCUGUGUGUGUGUGUGUGUGUGUGUGUGUGUGUGUGUCUGUGCGUGCGUGCGUAAGUGCGUGUGUGCGUGUGUGUGUGUGUGUCUGUGUCUGUGUGUUUCUGAACGGAGAGAGUUGGGUAAAGUCAGAUAGAUUGGAAGAUAGAGAGAUAGAAAGAUAUACAGUAUGGAGUGUGAGACUGGCAGGGUGAUAAGGAGUUAAAGAUAGAUAGAUAUCCACUAUUUUGUGCUCUCUUCUCUUCUACAAACAACUGCUCCUUCUUUUCUGUCCAUAUGGAAGUGAUGAGACCCUCCUUCUUUUGAAAUUUUAUAUUUCAGGUGCGUGAUUCAGAUGUUAAUUCACAUCAAUGUAUUUCUGACCACAACACAAUGGAACUCGAUAACUAUUAAAUGCCAUUGUGUGUUCCCAAUACUUUACAACAUAUCAUAUUUCUAUAUUGUAUUCUAUUUUAUACUUUUGUGCAUGCCCCCAUCAUCAAGCGUGGAUCUUGCAGUUAUGCAAAUAUGAUGCACUCCGCAUCAUAAUAAUAAUAAUAAUAAUGCAUUUUAUUUGUAACGCACUCUUCAUUCAAAAUCAUGACUGGAGUAUCUUGACUGUGGGUGACACUGGAUAUCUUGACUGUGAGUGGUAGUGGAGUAUCUUGACUGUGGAGUAUCUUGACUGUGGGU
ensembl:lncRNA